CGGGGCGUGGCGCAGUUGGUAGCGCACUCGCUUGGGGUGCGAGAGGUCGGCAGUUCAAGUCUGCUCGCCCCGA
rnacentral:tRNA from 1 species